UGCGGCGGGGGAGCCCCGGCCCGCCUCGUCCGGUCCCUGGGCGUCUUUGUCUUUCUUCCGAAAACACAAAGCCAAACAUUUCCGUAGCUGCCCGCUGCCCCGUUUAAGAGAAAUAAACGUGUGGUAAUGCACACCGCAGCCUUUCGCCGGCUCUCAGGACGCUGUACUCAAUGCUGAGGCAGCCGGUCCUAACCGCAAGUGUGCAAGCACAGGCAGCCUUUCCUGCCCUCAUCGCUCAAUGCCUUACCAGUGACCGCUGCCAUCCAGAGGCUGCAUAAUUUUCCAAAUUAAUAGACUGUGUGACAGCCAGAUGCACCUCCAACUGCUCAAACUGAUUUAAGGGGGCAGGGGCCAUUGCUGAGGCAUGGCGGUGCAGGUUUGAUGCAGAAAUAAGAUCCACAGCGCUUGCUGGGCCUCAUUCUGCACGGUGGCCUGUCCGACAGUUCUCACCCCAGCUGGCUUUAAAUGACUGAGCCGGUUUUAACUAAACUUGACAGAAGGAUGGGGGUUUCAAAGAUGCUAGUAGUUCCAGCUGUGUAAAAAUUACUAGCUAGGUGCAGGGAAGGUUGUCCCCAAGAAAGAAAGCUCAUGUUUUCCAGGUUGGUGUGUGGCCAGGCCAUACACGCACACACUCACACACGCACACACUCACACACACACACACACACACACACACACACACACACACACACACACAUACACUCACACACACACACACACACACACACACUCACACACACAGAACUGGCCGAAGGUAGCAGUGCCUAAAGCUUACGGUGUCCCUGAGGGAUGUGCAGACAGAUCAUACAUGGGCACUUGAACUCAGAAACAAAAGUAAAAUCUGCCAUCACAAUAGCCCUAAAAUAAAUAUGCCCCAUCGACUUACUGCAGAGUUCUUGGAAGGCACCUUCUGUAGAAUCUGAUGCUCAGAGUAUUCCACAGGUUAAUACUGUAUCAGCCAGAGCUUGGGUGGAAUCCUAUAGUGCAAUAUCUAUUCUGGCAGUGGACACUAACAUCACUGGUGAUAGUCUGUAUCAGAAAGAGACAGAUACACACUUGAAAAGUCCUCCUGCUGCUCUCCAGCAUUUUCUCCAUAUCUUCUGGGCAGAUAGGAUGGGUGAACACCAUACAACACUGAAAACAGGAAAAUGAAAGUAACUGAUAUAGAAGAUACUAAUUGGCAAAAACGAAUCAUUGUGGUACAUGAAUUUAAUGUUGAGCAUGUUUGAAUGAAUCAUCUUCAUGAUGGUGAAGGCCACGUAAGAACAGGAUUUGGAUUUCUGCAAGUUAAUGCAGAGAGAAGUAAAAAGGAAAGUCACUAUAAGAAAAGGAAAUGAAUUAAUGUUAUUUUGCAUAGUGUCUGCACUAAGUGAAAAGCUAAACCAGGAAGGAAGUUGCCAUCACUAUGCUAGAUGGGAGUGCUUCAGUGACAUGUGCUUGCUUUUGAGAAAACCAGUAGUCUUCAGAUUAGGACUAGGGAUAAUUACCGUGUUUAUUUUGUGUUUGCCUGAAUUUUUCAAAAUCCAUGAAGCUAACACUGUAAUGGUGUCCUGCAGGGAUACCUGUUCUUCAAGUAACACCACUUUUCCACUUUGUACUUUUGACAAUUCUUACAAAAGAUCAGUGCAACAAAGAAGAGAAACCCAGACCAUUUUGCUGAAGGUCAUUAUAAAUAAUGCAGAUUUCCAAAAUAUUCCAUGUAUUUGCCAGUCAUCCUGGAGGGAGCAACAGUCCCACCCUAAACAGAGAGCGUAUGAAACCAAGAGGGAUAUGAAUGUUGAUCAUCAAGGAUCAGGGUCAAUGGCUAAAAAAACAAAAGGCUCUCUUGAAGUGAAAACAGAAAAUGCUAUUUUUUUGGAUAAAUAUAUAAAUUUCACCAUGGUUUCCAAGAAAGAAGUGGAGCAUAAUAUGAACUACCUGGUGGAAAUCCACAUCAACAAUUCUAUAGUCGGAGGACAAAACACAACCAACGAACAACUAAAUCAUUCUUGUCUCUUGGCAAUGAUGGAAGACCAAAAUGACUGUAUAAAUAUUUCACUGCAACUGAAGUCUUAUAUGGAAUAUCCAAUGUGUAUGACAAAGAUCAUUUGGCUCACUCUGAUUCCAGUAGUUUUUGUGUUUACUAUUUCAAUCGUCAUCUACAAAAUAGUCCAAGAAAAUAAACGGAACUCAGAUUAUAAACAAAGAGUAGCAAAAUCAGUUUCUACUGUUCUAAGAAGAAAGAGUUCCAGACAUGGAAGAAGAACUGUAUCUGCUACUAAAAUUCAUCCUUUUCCUGUAGUGAAAACCAGCAAACAACAGGUUCCACUUCCUGCACAGACCACAAAGAUACUGCCUGUAAUUCCUGAACAAGAGCACUGUCAUGUGGAUCAACUCUAGAAGCGCUCCCCUGAAGAGUGUGCAUUUCAGACCACUGAUACAAGAGCCUCAAAUAAGGAAGGGUUUUAGGCAGAGCUAGAAUCAUGAGAGAGCUCCACUGGGGAUGCUGCUAACAUCUGCCCUUCCCUGCCUCAAACCUGGCUUCUGUCUGGUUGGUAAGAGUUACUUCAAUGCCUGCCCUGAAUCAGACAGGCAAGAUGAGUUAUACUUUUCCUCAUCUUCAGCCAGCUGGAGCUGCACUCAGAGAAAUCAUUAACCACAGCACGGAGUGUUUGAUUUCUCUGUCAGGAAACUACCUACACAGCAGCUGUGGUAGGUGUAACAGCAGUUGUGAGGAGGAGGAAAUGUAAAAGCAAGGAUAACUGUGAUCACGAUCAUUGUUGCUAAUGAGCUGGAGAACCUGCUGAUGGCCUCAGCAGUGGCCCUUAACACAACACACUGAAAGAUGAAAGGCUGAAAAACAUUGUUUUUAGCCAUGGGAAUGGUCUGGAGAGAUCUAUUUGCCUAUUCUUUGCUUGUUGCUCCAGUCUGCAACGGUGAAGUAUUACUCUUACUAGUAGAUCGAGAGAGACAUCAAUAAUCAAUUACACAUUACAAUUUUCCACUGUUUUUCUUUUUAUAACAAGAAAAAGACAUUUUUUUCUAUAAAUGUCUUUUUUAAGCCUUUCGAUUUAAGACAAUACUGUUGAUUAUAAAAUGUAAAUAUAUUGAUAAACAUAUGACUGUUCACGUGUUGCCAUGUUUAUCAAUAUACUUAGAUCCAAUUGUGUGGUCUAUCUAUCUAUCUAUCUAUCUAUCUAUCUAUCUAUCUAUUCUGUGUGUGCACACAGAAAUGCACCCAAAUGCUUCGUUAUUCACUAUUGCACUGACAGCUAGUUCAGCUAAUAAAAAAUGUGCCAACUUCUGCACACGCCUUUGCCAAAGGUGAAUCUUUUCAGCAUAGAUUACUCAAUGUCUCUGUAUUUUCUUGGUAACUAUUACAACUACACUCGAGUACCAUAGGUAAGAAUCCUCUGUUUCUGCCAUCUUUCAUUAAACUACCAUAUUAGCAACUGUCCUGGAAAACAAUGAAUGAGCCAUGUCCCUCAGGUGUUGAGGAAUGGUAUUUUCCAAUUUAGUAGUCCUGCUAAAACCACGCUGCAGCUUGCUUCCCCUCCCCUCCAAUUGGAAGCACAAAAGGCAAAGAUCAUGGCUUGAGAUAUGAACAAUUUAGUGGAAACAGCAAUGAGAUAAGAAAACAAUAACAAAAGAUAUAGGCAAGGAAACAAUUUACACGGAAAGCCUGGGACAAUACUGACUGGCUCUUCUCUACCAUUUUUCUCCCCACUGGAAGGAACACCCUUCUCCUUGGAAGCAAGAAUCCUGUAUCCCUGCUCCUGGCAAUGACCUGAGGCAGUAUAGAAAAAUCUCCUAGCCAUGCCCACACAGCUCCAGGCUCACAGCUACUGCAAAAUAUUCACUCUGUCCUGGCCAGACCCCAGGACAACAUAUGACAACUGGAUGUAUUUCCUUAGUGCUGUGAGAAGAUUGUGAUAUUAAUUACCCUAAUUUUGUUUAGAUUGGAAGCAUGAACAUUUUAUUCAAGGCAUAUAUUUGCAUUCCGAGGCAAUGCUGUUCAGCAAGGCACCCACACAAACAACAGAAGAUAGAAUUAUGCAGAGAAAACAGUAAAACUCAUAAGACAUUCUAGCAAAGGCAUGAGUGAGCUCAGGAGUGAGAGGAAGAUUACAGUUAAGCUGCUUUCAUGCAGUUUCAGGUAUCACCCUAUGAAAUACCAGCACUUCUGGAUGAAAGAAGAUACAUCAUACACCAUAGAAGAAAGCAUCCCCAUUUCCAGCUUGGGGGGCUAUGUUAUCCAUCUUUUAAUGGGAAAUGACAAUUAUGCAUUUUAGUUGACAAGUUCCAUUUUUUCCAUCAUAAUUACUUUGUAUUAAGAAAAUAUCAAUUAUGAACAUGCAUGUUUUGCUGCAUAAACAACUGUGAUAGCAGACUAGAUUUCACAUCUAUUUUCUGUUCAUUCAGGAUUCAUACUUAGUUAUAUGGUUGUGAGGUAAUCCUUGUGAUAAUUACAUAUUUUUAUCAGGGCAGAAAUUUAUUUUAUAUAUUCCAUAGGAUAAGAAGUCUAUAUAAAGGUAGGAAUUAUCCUCUACUUUCAUGAAAUGAGCACAAUUUUCAAACUACUUAAUGCAAUAGAUGACUAAGAUGCCUAAAAGAUUCAGUUUCUGGCUGUUGAGAAGGGUGGCCAAAGUAUUACAGAAGGAAUGAAUUCUGUAGCAUGUUAGUUUCUGCAGUAAACCAGGAAGACCAUAAUAAUUUGUGCAAUAUCUUAGUGAAUAAAGAAAAAAAUGUGGAAAAAUACUGAUUUGGCUUCAAAUCACAGAAUUGUUAUUAUAGAUUUUUAAUAACUCAUUAAGACAUUAAAUGGGUUUGUACUUUUUGAGAAA